UGGGGAAUAUUGGACAAUGGGCGCAAGCCUGAUCCAGCCAUGCCGCGUGAGUGAUGAAGGCCCUAGGGUUGUAAAGCUCUUUCACCGGUGAAGAUAAUGACGGUAACCGGAGAAGAAGCCCCGGCUAACUUCGUGCCAGCAGCCGCGGUAAUACGAAGGGGGCUAGCGUUGUUCGGAUUUACUGGGCGUAAAACGCACGUAGGCGGACUUUUAAGUCAGGGGUGAAAUCCCGGGGCUCAACCCCGGAACUGCCUUUGAUACUGGAAGUCUUGAGUAUGGUAGAGGUGAGUGGAAUUCCGAGUGUAGAGGUGAAAUUCGUAGAUAUUCGGAGGAACACCAGUGGCGAAGGCGGCUCACUGGACCAUUACUGACGCUGAGGUGCGAAAGCGUGGGGAGCAAACAGG
rnacentral:rRNA from 1 species